rnacentral:rRNA from 1 species
CUACGGGGGGCACCAGGCGAGAAAACUUUGCAAUGUGCGAAAGCACGACAAGGUUAAUCCGGGUGGUUUGUGCUAAACGAACCUUUUGACAGUCCUAGAAACACUGUUGAAUAAGGGGUGGGCAAGUUCUGGUGUCAGCCGCCGCGGUAAAACCAGCACCUCAAGUGGUCAGGAUGAUUAUUGGGCCUAAAGCAUCCGUAGCCGGCUCUGUAAGUUUUCGGUUAAAUCUGUACGCUCAACGUACAGGCUGCCGGGAAUACUGCAGAGCUAGGGAGUGGGAGAGGUAGACGGUACUCGGUAGGAAGGGGUAAAAUCCUUUGAUCUAUUGAUGACCACCUGUGGCGAAGGCGGUCUACCAGAACACGUCCGACGGUGAGGGAUGAAAGCUGGGUGAGCAAACCGGAUUAGAUACCCCCGUAGUC